rnacentral:misc_RNA from 1 species
GAAUAUGUACUUUGAAACAUGUUCUUGUGUUCAAACUAAUCAACAUGAUAAUCAAUGUUAAUAUUCACUUUGAUAGCACAAUAGUCAAUUACAAGCAAUGUCUGUAAAUAGUGCCAUUUAAUUUAUUGAAAAGUCCCUACAUGACUCUGUGAUGGGUAGAUGUAAACUUAUUAGACUCUGUACAUGAUAAUGUUGGCUUAUUGAAGUGUUUCUGAACAAGUUCCAAGCUGUUUUCCCACCUUAGUUUUCUGACCUCAGUCUUUUAGAGUGAUAUUUUGUCUAUGUUGUGCAAUGUAUUAAAGAAAAAAGAAAAACUGCUGCAUUUUGAAAAGAAUUCUUCGAAUUUAUUCCAGACAUGUGAUAGUGUGUGUGCUUAACUAAGGCAUUGUGUAUUUAUUUGUGCACUCAUUAUGUUACAAAGUAUUCAUGUACCUUGAAAGGUGGACCAAUUUGUUAUACACUGCUAUGGUGCAGGAAUCAUAUCGUUAAUUUCAUUGAAUUCUAGUCUAUUUGGAGUGUAGUAUGCAAAAAUUUAUUACAUGUAGUAUGAUUGUGAAAAAAAAAUCAAUUUGAUGUUGCUAUUCCUAUCUUCCAUUUGUCUACUAUCAAUCUAUUAUUUUCAUUUCUAUAUAGGAACAAAUUAUGAUCUAAUUUUAUGGAGAUUUUUUUCACACAGACUGUAAACUUUCUAGACUUUAGUUUCAUCCAGCAAGCUCCUAUUAAGGUUUUCUCAACAAGUUUCUUUUUAAGGUUUUUGCUCAAGGGAAAUGAGAGUAAAAUCUUAUCCAACUAUAAAUGAGAGGGGAUUAAAAUUAUAUAAGAUACAUGUCAUUAAAAUUCAUUUGAUCUCAAUGAUAAAUUCCAAAAUGAUUUUACUGAAAGAGAAUUCUGCUCCAGUGAGAGAGAACUGCAGCAAGUGAGUUAUUGUACUAAAAUAAUUAGUAGAUAACAAAUGAUUGUAAGGCAUACCAUCGUAAUUGUGUGAUAAGGGCAAAUGUACAGAAGUGUGUGUGUCACACUGUUGAUACAUGUCUUGUGAGAGCUACAAGUGCACGCCUGUUAUGCAUGUAUAUGUAGUGUAACCCCCCCCCCGUGUUACCUGUCUGUUCCUGUGUUGUUUUAUGUUAUGUCUUUUAUUUUGUUGAAUAUUAAACAAGCUGUUGGUCUGUGAUCAUAUCUAGAUGAUUCUAUCUAUGUUGGUUUUCUUUUUAAUCACAUGAUUAAAUAUUAGAAUAUC